GCCUGGCAUGCCGGCAAGCGUGGCAGGUGAAAAGGCGCGGCCCACUCGGGAGGCGGGGCGCGGGGCGGGGCCCGCGAGGAGGGCGGGUCCCUGGCGGCGUCAUGGCGGACGCGGCCCUGGACGCCGUGCGGAGCGAGUUGCGAGGAUUCCCGGCCGCGGCCCGCGAGUGGACAGUGAGAGAGAGAGACAGAGAGAAAGGUCUUCCUUUGCUGUUGGUUCACCCUCCAAUGGCCGCUGCUGCCGGCGCACCGCGCUGAUCCGAAGCCAGGAGCCAGAGCUCAGUGUGCCCUCUGCUGUGCCCUACCUGGACGAGCCCCCGAGCCCACUCCACUUCUACCGGGACUGGGUCUGCCCCAACAGACCGUGCAUCAUCCGCAAUGCCCUGCGGCACUGGCCGGCCCUGCACAAGUGGUCCCUCCCCUACCUGAGGGCCACGGUGGGCUCCACAGAGGUGAGUGUGGCUGUGACCCCAGAUGGUUAUGCGGACGCUGUGCGAGGGGACCGCUUCGUGAUGCCAGCCGAACGCCGCCUGCCCCUCAGCUGCGUGCUGGACGUCCUGGAGGGCCGGACGCAGCACCCGGGAGUCCUCUACGUGCAGAAGCAGUGCUCCAACCUGCCCACCGAGCUGCCCCAGCUGCUGCCCGACCUGGAGCCCCACGUGCCCUGGGCCUCUGAGGCCCUGGGAAAGAUGCCUGAUGCUGUGAACUUCUGGUUGGGGGAGGCAGCUGCAGUGACCUCUUGUAGUGCACAAGGACCACUACGAGAACCUCUACUGCGUGCUCUCGGGCGAGAAGCACUUCCUGCUCCAUCCGCCCACCGACCGGCCCUUCAUCCCCUAUGAGCUGUAUACACCGGCUACCUACCAGCUGACUGAAGAAGGCACCUUCAAGAUGGUGGACGAAGAGGCCAUGGAGAAGGUGCCCUGGAUCCCACUGGACCCCUUGGCUCCAGACCUGGCCCGGUUCCCUGGGUACAGCCAGGCACAGGC